CCAAUAGCGUAUAUUAAAGUUGUUGCAGUUAAAAAGCUCGUAGUUGAAUUUUGGGGUUAAUAAGUUGGUCGUACCUAUGGUAUGUACUGGCUUUAUUGAUUCCUACCUCUUGACGAACUGUGAUGCCAUUAAUUUGGUAUUGCAAGAAAUCAGGACUGUUACCUUGAAAAAAUUAGAGUGUUUAAAGCAGGCUUACGCUU
rnacentral:rRNA from 1 species